GCCUGGGUGGCUCAGUGGUUGAGCAUCUGCCUUUGGCUCAGGUCAUGAUCCCAGGGUCCUGGGAGCAAAUCCCACAUCAGGCU
rnacentral:tRNA from 1 species